rnacentral:rRNA from 1 species
CCUACGGGUGGCAGCAGUGAGGAAUAUUGGUCAAUGGACGAGAGUCUGAACCAGCCAAGUAGCGUGAAGGAUGACUGCCCUAUGGGUUGUAAACUUCUUUUAUAAAGGAAUAAAACGAGGCACGUGUGCCUUUUUGCAUGUACUUUAUGAAUAAGGAUCGGCUAACUCCGUGCCAGCAGCCGCGGUAAUACGGAGGAUCCGAGCGUUAUCCGGAUUUAUUGGGUUUAAAGGGAGCGUAGAUGGGUUGUUAAGUCAGUUGUGAAAGUUUGCGGCUCAACCGUAAAAUUGCAAUUGAUACUGGCAGUCUAGAGUACAGUUGAGGUAGGCGGAAUUCGUGGUGUAGCGGUGAAAUGCUUAGAUAUCACGAAGAACCCCGAGUGCGAAGGCAGCUUACUAAACUGUGACUGACAUUGAUGCUCGAAAGUGUGGGUAUCAAACAGGAUUAGAUACCCGGGUAGUC